GACCUCGUGGUGUAACAGUAGCGCAUCUGACAUCUGACUCCAGAUCAGAAGGUUGUGUAUUCAAAUCACAUCCGGGUCA
rnacentral:tRNA from 1 species